rnacentral:rRNA from 1 species
AUGGAGGAUGCAAAUUCGGAGCCAACAGUUAUGCCACUCGAUUUAUUACGAGAGAUUACGGAUGGUUUCUCCGAGGAGCGGAAGCUUGGUAGCGGUUCAUAUGGAAAGGUGUACUUGGGAGUGCAUCAAAACGGGGAAAAGAUUGCUGUGAAGGUGCUCUAUGAUAUGCCUGGAGUUGACGAUAAACACUUUCAGAACGAGUUUAAAAAUCUUACAAGGCUCCAGCACCCAAACAUUGUGCGCUUAGUAGGCUAUUGCCAUGAUAUUCAGGAAGUACAAGUAAUGCAUGAAGGGAAAUUGGUUCUUGCUGAAAAGACACAUAGGGCGCUCUGCUUGGAGUAUAUGUCUAAUGGAAGCCUUGAAAAGUAUCUUUCUGAUGAAUGUGAUAGAUAUGAUUGGCAGAAAGGCUAUCAAAUAAUUAAGGGGAUUUGCCAGGGUUUAAAUUACCUACCCAAUGAAUUAAAACCUCCUAUGUAUCAUUUUGAUUUAAAGCCAGCCAAUAUAUUGCUGGAUGAGAACAUGGUUCCCAGAAUUGCAGAUUUUGGGAUAUCAAGGCUCUUCAAAGAUGAACAGACACGAGCUACAAAAAGUACUUUAGGAACAAUUGGGUACUUACCGCCGGAAUACAUUAAAAAAAUUUGA